GCUGGGCAUGGUGUCACACGCCUGUAAUCCCAGCAGCUUGGAGGCUGAGUCAGGAGGAUCCCAAGUUCCAGGCAAGCAUCAGCAACUUAUGGAGUCCCUGUCUCAA
rnacentral:sRNA from 1 species